rnacentral:rRNA from 1 species
GACGAACGCUGGCGGCGUGCUUAACACAUGCAAGUCGAACGGAAAGGCCCCCAUCUUGGUGGGGGUGCUCGAGUGGCGAACGGGUGAGUAACACGUGGGUGAUCUGCCCUGUACUUCGGGAUAAGCUUGGGAAACUGGGUCUAAUACCGGAUAGGACCAUGGUUUAGUGUCUCAUGGUGGACAGAUUAUUGUUUUGGUGCAGGAUGAGCUCGCGGCCUAUCAGCUUGUUGGUGGGGUUAUGGCCUACCAAGGCGUCGACGGGUAGCCGGCCUGAGAGGGUGGUCAGCCCGAAUGGGAAUGAGGUUCCGCCCCGAUACCUUAGGGAGGAGGGGGGGGGGAAGAAUGCAGGAUGGGAGCCAGCCCGAGGCCGGCAGCGCGCGUGGGGGAGGUCGGCCGUUGGGUUGGAAACUUCUUUUGUGAGGGAGGGAAGCCAAAUUUUUUUGGGUGUGGUGACGGUACCUUUGUGAAGAAGCACCGGCUAACUACGUG